AUUGAACGCUGGCGGCAUGCCUUACACAUGCAAGUCGAACGGUAACAGGUCUUCGGAUGCUGACGAGUGGCGAACGGGUGAGUAAUACAUCGGAACGUGCCCGAUCGUGGGGGAUAACGAAGCGAAAGCUUUGCUAAUACCGCAUAAGAUCUAAGGAUGAAAGCAGGGGACCGCAAGGCCUUGCGCGAACGGAGCGGCCGAUGGCAGAUUAGGUAGUUGGUGGGAUAAAAGCUUACCAAGCCGACGAUCUGUAGCUGGUCUGAGAGGACGACCAGCCACACUGGGACUGAGACACGGCCCAGACUCCUACGGGAGGCAGCAGUGGGGAAUUUUGGACAAUGGGCGAAAGCCUGAUCCAGCCAUGCCGCGUGCAGGAUGAAGGCCUUCGGGUUGUAAACUGCUUUUGUACGGAACGAAAAGACUCUUUCUAAUAAAGAGGGUCCAUGACGGUACCGUAAGAAUAAGCACCGGCUAACUACGUGCCAGCAGCCGCAGUAA
rnacentral:rRNA from 1 species